rnacentral:rRNA from 1 species
UACGUAGGGUGCGAGCGUUAAUCGGAUUUACUGGGCGUAAAGCGUGCGCAGGCGGCCCGUUAAGACAGGUGUGAAAUCCCUGGGCUCAACCUAGGAAUUGCGCUUGUGACUGGCGGGCUCGAGUACGGUAGAGGGGGGUGGAAUUCCCGGUGUAGCGGUGAAAUGCGUAGAGAUCAGGAGGAACACCGAUGGCGAAGGCAGCCCCCUGGGCCUGUACUGACGCUCAUGCACGAAAGCGUGGGGAGCAAACAGG